AUGAACGCUGGCGGCGUGCCUAAUACAUGCAAGUCGAGCGAACGGACGAGAAGCUUGCUUCUCUGAUGUUAGCGACGGACGGGUGAGUAACACGUGGAUAACCUACCUAUAAGACUGGGAUAACUUCGGGAAACCGGAGCUAAUACCGGAUGAUAUUUUGAACCGCAUGGUUCAAAAGUGAAAGACGGUCUUGCUGUCACUUAUAGAUGGAUCCGCGCUGCAUUAGCUAGUUGGUAAGGUAACGGCUUACCAAGGCAACGAUGCAUAGCCGACCUGAGAGGGUGAUCGGCCACACUGGAACUGAGACACGGUCCAGACUCCUACGGGAGGCAGCAGUAGGGAAUCUUCCGCAAUGGGCGAAAGCCUGACGGAGCAACGCCGCGUGAGUGAUGAAGGUCUUCGGAUCGUAAAACUCUGUUAUUAGGGAAGAACAUAUGUGUAAGUAACUGUGCACAUCUUGACGGUACCUAAUCAGAAAGCCACGGCUAACUACGUG
rnacentral:rRNA from 1 species